rnacentral:rRNA from 1 species
UCGAGGGGCAUCAGGAAGAAGCUUGCUUUCUUUGCUGGCGACCGGCGCACGGGUGAGUAACACGUAUCCAACCUGCCCUUUACUCGGGGAUAGCCUUUCGAAAGAAAGAUUAAUACCCGAUGGGAUAAUUAUUCCGCAUGGUUUGAUUAUUAAAGGAUUCCGGUAAAGGAUGGGGAUGCGUUCCAUUAGGUUGUUGGUGAGGUAACGGCUCACCAAGCCUUCGAUGGAUAGGGGUUCUGAGAGGAAGGUCCCCCACAUUGGAACUGAGACACGGUCCAAACUCCUACGGGAGGCAGCAGUGAGGAAUAUUGGUCAAUGGGCGCUAGCCUGAACCAGCCAAGUAGCGUGAAGGAUGAAGGCUCUAUGGGUCGUAAACUUCUUUUAUAUAAGAAUAAAGUGCAGUAUGUAUACUGUUUUGUAUGUAUUAUAUGAAUAAGGAUCGGCUAACUCCGUGCCAGCAGCCGCGGUAAUACGGAGGAUCCGAGCGUUAUCCGGAUUUAUUGGGUUUAAAGGGAGCGUAGGUGGACUGGUAAGUCAGUUGUGAAAGUUUGCGGCUCAACCGUAAAAUUGCAGUUGAUACUGUCAGUCUUGAGUACAGUAGAGGUGGGUGGAAUUCGUGGUGUAGCGGUGAAAUGCUUAGAUAUCACGAAGAACUCCGAUUUGCGAGGCAGCUCACUGGACUGCAACUGACACUGAUGCUCGA